rnacentral:tRNA from 1 species
GCCACCGUAGCUCAGUUGGUAGAGCAACGGUUUCGUAAACCGUAGGUCGUCGGUUCGACUCCGACCGGUGGCU